rnacentral:rRNA from 1 species
GAUGAACGCUGGCGGCGUGCCUAAUACAUGCAAGUCGAGCGAACAAACGAGGAGCUUGCUCCUUUGACGUUAGCGGCGGACGGGUGAGUAACACGUGGGUAACCUACCUAUAAGACUGGGAUAACUUCGGGAAACCGGAGCUAAUACCGGAUAAUAUUUCGAACCGCAUGGUUCGAUAGUGAAAGAUGGCUUUGCUAUCACUUAUAGAUGGACCUGCGCCGUAUUAGCUAGUUGGUAAGGUAACGGCUUACCAAGGCAACGAUACGUAGCCGACCUGAGAGGGUGAUCGGCCACACUGGAACUGAGACACGGUCCAGACUCCUACGGGAGGCAGCAGUAGGGAAUCUUCCGCAAUGGGCGAAAGCCUGACGGAGCAACGCCGCGUGAGUGAUGAAGGUCUUCGGAUCGUAAAACUCUGUUAUUAGGGAAGAACAAACGUGUAAGUAACUGUGCACGUCUUGACGGUACCUAAUCAGAAAGCCACGGCUAACUACGUGCCAGCAGCCGCGGUAAUACGUAGGUGGCAAGCGUUAUCCGGAAUUAUUGGGCGUAAAGCGCGCGUAGGCGGUUUUUUAAGUCUGAUGUGAAAGCCCACGGCUCAACCGUGGAGGGUCAUUGGAAACUGGAAAACUUGAGUGCAGAAGAGGAAAGUGGAAUUCCAUGUGUAGCGGUGAAAUGCGCAGAGAUAUGGAGGAACACCAGUGGCGAAGGCGACUUUCUGGUCUGUAACUGACGCUGAUGUGCGAAAGCGUGGGGAUCAAACAGGAUUAGAUACCCUGGUAGUCCACGCCGUAAACGAUGAGUGCUAAGUGUUAGGGGGUUUCCGCCCCUUAGUGCUGCAGCUAACGCAUUAAGCACUCCGCCUGGGGAGUACGACCGCAAGGUUGAAACUCAAAGGAAUUGACGGGGACCCGCACAAGCGGUGGAGCAUGUGGUUUAAUUCGAAGCAACGCGAAGAACCUUACCAAAUCUUGACAUCCUUUGACCCUUCUAGAGAUAGAAGUUUCCCCUUCGGGGGACAAAGUGACAGGUGGUGCAUGGUUGUCGUCAGCUCGUGUCGUGAGAUGCUGGGUUAAGUCCCGCAACGAGCGCAACCCUUAAGCUUAGUUGCCAUCAUUAAGUUGGGCACUCUAAGUUGACUGCCGGUGACAAACCGGAGGAAGGUGGGGAUGACGUCAAAUCAUCAUGCCCCUUAUGAUUUGGGCUACACACGUGCUACAAUGGACAAUACAAAGGGCAGCGAAACCGCGAGGUCAAGCAAAUCCCAUAAAGUUGUUCUCAGUUCGGAUUGUAGUCUGCAACUCGACUACAUGAAGCUGGAAUCGCUAGUAAUCGUAGAUCAGCAUGCUACGGUGAAUACGUUCCCGGGUCU